UACGAGUGCCUCAAGCGUUAUCCGGAAUUAUUGGGCGUAAAGGUUGUGUAGGUGGUUGUAUUAGUCUUCUGUUAAAUUCUUCGGCUUAACCGGGGGCAUGCAGGGGAAACGGUACGACUAGAGGUAUGCAGGGGAGAACGGAAUUCCUGGUGUAGCGGUGAAAUGCGCAGAUAUCAGGAGGAACACCGGUGGCGAAGGCGGUUCUCUGGGCAUUACCUGACGCUGAGGAGCGAAAAGUGUGGGGGA
rnacentral:rRNA from 1 species